GCCAUCCAAGGCUAGAAAGCACCAGUUCCUAUACGAUCACUGAAGCUAAGCAAUAUCAAGCCUAUUCAGUACCUAGAUGAGUGACUGCUUGGGAAUU